GACGAACGCUGGCGGCGUGCUUAACACAUGCAAGUCGAACGGUGAAGCGCCUUCCUUUUUGGUGGGUGUGGAUGAGUGGCGAACGGGUGAGUAACACGUGAGUAACCUGCCCCCUUCUUCUGGAUAACCGCAUGAAAGUGUGGCUAAUACGGGAUAUUCUGGGUCUGUCGCAUGAUGGGUCUGGGAAAGAUAUUGUUUCGGUGGGGGAUGGGCUCGCGGCCUAUCAGCUUGUUGGUGGGGUGAUGGCCUACCAAGGCGGUGACGGGUAGCCGGCCUGAGAGGGUGGACGGUCACACUGGGACUGAGACACGGCCCAGACUCCUACGGGAGGCAGCAGUGGGGAAUAUUGCACAAUGGGCGCAAGCCUGAUGCAGCGACGCCGCGUGAGGGAUGGAGGCCUUCGGGUUGUGAACCUCUUUCGCCAGUGAAGCGGGCCUGCCUCGUUUGUGGGUGGGUUGACGGUAGCUGGAGAAGAAGCGCCGGCUAACUACGUG
rnacentral:rRNA from 1 species